GCUCUUCGUCUUCCACCUUUCUUCACCAUCGUUUCUGCGUCUCCCUCCCUCUCUUCCUUUACUAUACGUUACUCGGUAUCAUCUCUUCAUCUCCCUACGCCCCUUCCAUCAUCCCCUCUUCAAAUGAUACACUUAUAUUCAAUUUUUUUUUCCUCCGCUGUUGUUGCGGGUCAAUCAGCCGGCCCCCUACUACUCUUCAUAGAUGGAAAGAUGAUACAGACCCUGCCGUGUACUCCGAGACGAUUGUAGAGUGUUCAUGGGAUCAGGAUGAGAAAGUCUGGGUACGCGAGUCAGGGUGGAUAAAUCAACGCCAAAUGAUAUCAACACUUAGAGAAAGAUGUUGCAGGCCAGACAUGGGCCGUCCAAGGCUCCACUCUCAACAACGUCACCGUUGUUGUCGUCCUAGACCCGUCAGCCCUCAUCAACCAUUUCGGGACACUUGAACUCCACUGAUGUAACUCUGUCAGUUAUGGUUCUCACCACGGUCUAUCCAAAAAUAUUUGUUGGUAACCUGUAUCUUAACUCAACUCAACUCCGGCCACCAAGUUCUACUUUGACACCACCAUCCCCGCCAUUGAAGCAUUCACAGAGAGGUUUGUGACGCAAAUGUUCAACACCUAGCUUGAGAGUGUGCAGCAGGAAUUGUUUUCACACGUGUGGAAACCAUGGAGGGGGGAAUUAAAAAGAAAGAGCUUGUGACAAUUGGUGAUCUUCAUGCCUAUCUGUCCAACUCCAACGACCAUAGCCAGGAAGCAGAUUUUCUCUGUCAAGCUAGGAUUGUCAACAUCUUUCAGCAGAAUGGCUGGUCUUAUGUCUCUUGCACCGGUUGCAGACGGAAGUUUCAAAGUGUGGUACCUCUCUACGCUGCAACAGAUGUGUUUCACCCAAUGUCACUGGAGUCAAAGACUCACCCAUGUCCAACAGAACGCUCCAAAUUGUUAAUGAUCAUAACAACUUGAGGCUAUUUUACGCAGCUUCUGUGUAGAGCUGUCCGUUGAAGAUGGCAAAGACAGUGUCACAUUUUUGGUGUUUGAUACCGAGUUGUCUAAACUAAACAAAAUGAAAGCACCACCCUAUCUUGGAGGAGAAACCACUAUCGGCUACCGCCACUGGGGAUUCCUUCAGCAAUGCCAAGUAAGUUGAUGAAGCAAAACUUCCAAGCUUGGCUGAGGAAGAGAAGACUUGCAAACGCCCCCGUGAAUGAUUGGUCGGAGUCCAGCAAACCGUCAACCCCACUUAGCUUUCAUGUGUUUUCACUUUUCUAAAUUCCUAUGUUUUUCUUUUUUUGAGCAAAAAAUCCUAUCUUUUCCAAUUUCUGAGUUUUCGUAUUGUUUCAAAAUUUCUGCAAACUAUCACCCACUAAGGUUAGCAUUUACUUUUUUUAUUAAUUUAUGGGGAACAUUGAAGAGUAUUAGUAUUUUCUAUGUCCGCUUAUACA